CGGCAGGCUUAACACAUGCAAGUCGAGCGGUAACAGGGGGAGCUUGCUCCCCGCUGACGAGCGGCGGACGGGUGAGUAAUGCAUAGGAAACUGCCCAGUAGUGGGGGAUAGCCCGGGGAAACCCGGAUUAAUACCGCAUACGCCCUUUGGGGGAAAGCAGGGGAUCUUCGGACCUUGCGCUAUUGGAUGUGCCUAUGUCGGAUUAGCUAGUUGGUGGGGUAAGAGCCUACCAAGGCGACGAUCCGUAGCUGGUCUGAGAGGAUGAUCAGCCACAUCGGGACUGAGACACGGCCCGAACUCCUACGGGAGGCAGCAGUGGGGAAUAUUGGACAAUGGGGGCAACCCUGAUCCAGCCAUGCCGCGUGUGUGAAGAAGGCUUUCGGGUUGUAAAGCACUUUCAGUGAGGAGGAAAACCUUAAGUUUAAUACGCUGAGGCUUGACGUUACUYACAGAAGAAGCACCG
rnacentral:rRNA from 1 species